UACGGAGGGUGCAAGCAUUAAUCGGAUUUAUUGGGCGUAAAGGGCGCGUAGGCGGAAAUGAAAGUCAGAUGUGAAAUCCCGGGGCUCAACCCCGGAACAGCAUUUGAAACUCCAUUUCUAGAGGGUAGGCGGAGAAAACGGAAUUCCACAAGUAGCGGUGAAAUGCGUAGAUAUGUGGAAGAACACCGGUGGCGAAGGCGGUUUUCUAGCUUAUUCCUGACGCUGAGGCGCGAAAGCAAGGGGAUCAAACAGGG
rnacentral:rRNA from 1 species